UUAGCCAAACUAGGGAGGGGUGGGUUAGUUUCUUCCAAAUUGAGGAGUAAUUCCUUAUACAAGAACAAGAUCAUUUCUUUUCUCUCAAUUAUCGCUCUCCUCAUUUCACUCCCUUUUGUAAAGAAAUUCGCUCAUGAUUUUUCUUUUCUCUCAAAAGACUCUCUUUCUUUUCUCUCUUGCAGCUCAUCUCUCUUUUUCUCUCUAGUAGCCACCUCACCAUUUUAUAUGUUACUCCCUACUUCACUGUUUUCUCUCCUCUUCUCUAACUCUUUUACUCUUCUUUCUUCCUCGUUCUUCAACUUGAUUUGGUUCUCAUAUACUUGUGCCGGUGUUAAUGGCACAAAGGUAAUGAUCCUCUCGUCUUUGACGAAACUAUAACGAUUUUUGUACCCAUCAUGCAUUGCUUUCCUAUCAUAUUGCCAAGGUCUCCCCAACAAAAUAUGUCCCGCUUGCAUUGAUAUUACAUCACACACUACCUCAUCCCGAUAACUUCCAAUAGAGAUAUUAAUUUACACCCUGCGAUUAACCCUAACUUCUCCACAUUCGUUUAACCAUUGCAAUUUAUAUAGCCUAGGGUGCAUCAACCGUGCUAAAUUUAAUUUCUCUACAAGUGCUACGCUAGCAACAUUUGUGCAACUACCACCAUCGAUAAUUACACUAUAUACCGUAUCGUUGACAUGGCAUCGAGUAUGGAAGAUGUUCUCCCAUUGUAG
rnacentral:lncRNA from 1 species